GAUGAAGAACGCAGCGAAAUGCGAUACUUGGUGUGAAUUGCAGAAUCCCGUGAACCACCGAGUCUUUGAACGCAAGUUGCGCCCGAAGCCAUUAGGCCGAGGGCACGCCUGCCUGGGCGUCACACGUCGUUGCCCCCCCAUCUACUCCUUCGGGAUUGCGGGGGGCGGAUGAUGGCCUCCCGUGCGCCUCGUCGCGCGGUUGGCCUAAAUGCCAAGUCCUCGGCGACGCACGCCACGACAAUCGGUGGUUGCGAAACCUCGGUUGCCAGUCGUGUGCGGUCGUCGCGCAUCGAGGGCUCGAAAAAAUUGCCGGGCUUCGGCUCGACUUUCAACGCGACCCCAGGUCAGGCGGGGUUACCCGCUGAAUUUAAGCAUAUCAAUAAGCGGAGGA
rnacentral:misc_RNA from 1 species